CUUCAAAGUCCUGGCAAAAACUGCAGAACCUCAUCUGAGCAAAAGAAGCGAGAGUGCUUCCCGCUGAGCGGUGAGGCCCCCAGACGCCGCGUUUCAUCUCGGGGGCGGGUUGGAAAACGCUGUGGAAUGAGGGUGUGGCUGGCGCGCUGGAACUAAACACUGUCACAUGUAGACGCUCGGUGUCCGGAUGGAGCACUUCAUGUUUUCAUUUUCUGAAAAGAGCAAUGCCCCCUGGAGUAAGCAGACCUCAAACAACGAUUUCGGAGUCCGCACUGAGACUCCUCCCGACAGCUGCAUUUUGCUGUUUACGUUGGUGUCACUUUUAAGAGCAGUCAGCUCCUGAGCUUUUAGAGGUUUCCGAUAACAGCAGCUCCAGGCUCUGCCGAGACAAAUGUGCCUAAACAGACAUGGAAACCAGAACGCCAGCCCACUUUCCUUUGAUCACAAAGGCCACCAGAUGAGGGUUCGUGGACACCUGGCUGUCUGGGACAGUGAAGGCGGCCGUGCGGUGGGUGGCUUCUCACAGCAGACAGCCAGUGCUGUCCUGACGCUUGCCCCCGAUGCUACACCCUGCUCUUCACUCUCGGUUCUCCAACUUCAGCACCCUGGGCUGCUUGGACCCCUGGUGUGCCAGACCACUGGGGACAGCCCUAGCCUGGGAGACAGCAGGGGCAUGUCCCACACUCAUGCCUGGACUCAUCCGAUUCACGCCCUCUGUCCAUGCGGGCCACCCCCCAUGAGGCCUGGCCAGCCCGAGUUUCGCUCCUGUAGGAAACUGCGGCAGAUCCACCCCAGGUGCCACUGAGUGGCCUCUUGUCCUGGGUCCUGUGUCUGCCAUCUCUCACCUCCCCGUCCAGCCCUGGAGGGUUGCUUCCUCUCUCCCCCUUGAGACCCACUAACACAAGACCAUGUGGUGUCGCUUCCUGGAGGUGUGGGGUCCUGAAAGGAGUUACAACAGAACCCAAAAGGUGCCGUCAUCCGGGGUCCCGGCCUGCUCAGUGCAGGUGUCAUGCCGCCCACGCACCCCCAGCUCCUGUCUGCCUU
rnacentral:lncRNA from 13 species